GACGAACGCUGGCGGCGUGCCUAACACAUGCAAGUCGAGCGAAGUUAUUCCUUCGGGGAUAACUUAGCGGCGGACGGGUGAGUAACACGUGGGUAACCUGCCUUAUAGAGGGGGAUAGCCUUCCGAAAGGAAGAUUAAUACCGAAUAACAUCAGAUUCUCGCAUGGGGAUUUGAUCAAAGGAGUACUCCGCUAUAAGAUCGAGCCGCGGGGCAGUAGCUAGUUGGUGAGGUAACGGCUCACAAAGGCGACGAUGCGUAGCCGACAUGAGAGGGUGAUCGGCCACAUUGGGACUGAGACACGGCCCAGACUCCUACGGGAGGCAGCAGUGGGGAAUAUUGCACAAUGGGGGAAACCCUGAUGCAGCAACGCCGCGUGAGUGAUGAAGGCCUUCGGGUUGUAAAGCUCUGUCUUUGGGGACGAUAAUGACGGUACCCAAGGAGGAAGCCACGGCUAACUACGUGCCAGCCGCCGCAGUAACAC
rnacentral:rRNA from 1 species